rnacentral:rRNA from 1 species
GACGGAGGAUGCAAGCGUUAUCCGGAAUUAUUGGGCGUAAAGCGUCCGCAGGUGGCUAGUCAAGUCUGCUGUCAAAGCGCGGAGCUUAACUUCGUAAAGGCAGUGGAAACUGAUUAACUAGAGCAUGGUAGGGGUAGAGGGAAUUCCCGGUGUAGCGGUGAAAUGCGUAGAGAUCGGGAAGAACACCAGUGGCGAAAGCGCUCUACUGGGCCGACACUGACACUGAGAGACGAAAGCUAGGGGAGCAAAUGGG